rnacentral:rRNA from 1 species
CCCCUGAAGGGCCGUGGAAGACCACCACGUUGAUAGGCUCCAUGUGGAAGCGCAGUAAUGCGUGCAGCUAAGGAGUACUAAUCGCCCGUGCGGCUUGACCAUAUAUCACCCAAGCA